rnacentral:ribozyme from 1 species
AUAAAUAAGCCAAAUGAAAAGAACAACAAAGAACUCACCACUCAUAUCUUUUCACCUUUAAUUUCCGUUCUUUUCUCUUUUCUUUUAAUUGAAUUAAAACAAGUGAAAGAAGGAAGGCGUGUUUAAUUCAAUUAAAAAGAAAAGAAAAGAAACAGGAAAUUAAGGUGUGUGGUUCUUCUUUUUCCCUUUACAUUCAGCUAAAUUAUAAUGAAAUGAAGUGGAAUGU